ensembl:lncRNA
CACAGGGCCACACACCGCAACUCCAGCUCACCAGUCCCGCCAGUGCGCUGCGGAUGGGACACCAAUGCGACCUUCGUGUAUGGCCUAAAAGGCAUUUCUCAUUAUCUUUCGGUCUCAAUUGCAGCAUGUUGUGGAGCUGACUUUGAAGCUUAAGACAACGGCGUUCUAUGUUUAUACGAUCUACUGGAGCCUAGAAAAGUUGGAAACUGAAGAUCAUAAACUUCCUGUGAGCUCACCAGUAGCCUACGGCCGGAAUUGGAUAAACAGGUUCGAUGUCGCUCAUUCACAUCGGCUCUUAAAAUGUUCUGUCUUCCUUUUAAUGGGAAAUGCACUUGAGAUGCCUGUGGCCAGGUGUAGGCUCCUGCAGUACAGUGUGGCUACUUGAGAACGCUAUAUCUUCCGGCGGAAAGGUGAAAGGUUCAUCUCAGCGCAGCAUACAGAAUAUACCCAGAGAGUAAAGCUGGAAGGACCAAGUGGACUAGCAUUUUCCAAGGACUCCAGCACUUAAUCUAUUGCUUGGCGAAUGAAAACCGCCUGUGGACGACAUGUUGGCUGAGAGGAACAAUGAACAAUACGUGGAUAAUCAAAGCACCACUUUGAAGAACAUGAAUAUUUAGGAAGAUGCCUGUCAGAAUCAACAAAGAUCUUACCUUCCAGUGGAGGAGAUAGAUUCUUUUGCCCGUCUCAUUUUCAUUUCACGCUGUGCUCCUCUGGCACUCAGAGAGGCGGCCACUCAACCCCCCACUCACCAGAGGGGUCCAGACCACCUGGCUCCAGGGGCAGCUGACUGGCCUAUUCAGCUGAAUGCACAGGCAGACCAGCGGCUCAUCCCUGGCCUGCCCCGGAGGUGGACGCGUGGAGUGCGAGGGGCCUGUGUGGAAGGUCAGCGGAGCCAGAGGAAAAGCCCACGUUUGUGGGAGCGCGAGGCGAGUGGAUGAGUGACCAUUUACACCCGAGUGGAACAUAGGGAGAGAUUCACGGGGAGUCAGCUGAUGCUACUGGCACUAUAUUUGUAUCGCAGGAAGGGAUGGGAAUUAUUUACUUCCUGCCAUUAUAGAAUAAAGGGAUCGAAGAGGGGAGAAAGAGUGACAGAAGUAAUAUGGCGUAUUUUUAACUAAAGGGGGACGGGAAUACCCAUGUGUUUGGAUUCACUCUGCUGAUUUCUGCUCCAGGUGUCCGUCAGAGAUUGCCUAGUAUGGUUAUUUAAUUAGUAUCUUUGACAAAAUUCCGUUUCUAUUUGGAAUUCUCAGAAUAUACUAUAAUUCAUGCAUCAGCCAUUUGUAUGUUAGUCUUAGGUUAGGUGGCUGUUUUUGAAUGCAUUUCAGAGCCAGUAUUAUUUUGUCACAGAUGUUAUGAGAUGUUUCAACAAGACAUGUCAUUUGAUUACUCUAUUGCCAUUGUUGAGUCUA